UACGAAGGGGGCUAGCGUUGCUCGGAAUUACUGGGCGUAAAGGGCGCGUAGGCGGCACUGUUAGCCAGGCGUGAAAGUCCUGGGCUCAACCUGGGAACUUCGCUUGAUACGGCAGAGCUAGAGGAUGGAAGAGGGUCGCGGAAUUCCCAGUGUAGAGGUGAAAUUCGAAGAUAUUGGGAAGAACACCGGUGGCGAAGGCGGCGACCUGGUCCAUUACUGACGCUGAGGCGCGACAGCGUGGGGAGCAAACAGG
rnacentral:rRNA from 1 species